rnacentral:rRNA from 1 species
GAUGAACGCUGGCGGCGUGCUUAAUACAUGCAAGUAGAACGGUGAGGGCGGAGCUUGCCCUGCUGGACCAGUGGCGAACGGGUGAGAAACACGUGAGAACUCUGCGCUAGCCUCCGGGAUAAGGGCUGGAAACGGCGUCUAACACUGGAUACUAGCUGAGAAGGCAUCUUCAUCAGCUGGAAAGGACUUCGGUCAGGGAUGAGAUCGCGGCCUAUCAGCCUGUUGGUGAGGUAACGGCUCACCAAGGCGACGACGGAUCGCCGGCCUGAGAGGGUGACCGGCCACACUGGGAUUGAGAAAGGGGCAAGAGUCCGUCGGGGGGCAGCGGUGAGGGAUAGUGCAAGAUGGGCGGAGGGAGGAUGGAGCGACGCCGGGUGGGGGAGCACGGCUUUCGGGUUAGAAACCGCUUGAAGCAGGGAAGAAGAGACAGUGACGGUACCUUCAGAAAAAGAGCCGGCUAACUACGUG